AUUGAACGCUGGCGGAAUGCUUUACACAUGCAAGUCGAACGGCAGCACGGGUGCUUGCACCUGGUGGCGAGUGGCGAACGGGUGAGUAAUACAUCGGAACGUACCCAGUUGUGGGGGAUAACGAGUCGAAAGAUUCGCUAAUACCGCAUACGACCUGAGGGUGAAAGCGGGGGACCGUAAGGCCUCGCGCAAUUGGAGCGGCCGAUGUCUGAUUAGCUAGUUGGUGAGGUAAAGGCUCACCAAGGCGACGAUCAGUAGCUGGUCUGAGAGGAUGAUCAGCCACACUGGAACUGAGACACGGCCCAGACUCCUACGGGAGGCAGCAGUGGGGAAUUUUGGACAAUGGGGGAAACCCUGAUCCAGCCAUUCCGCGUGAGUGAAGAAGGCCUUCGGGUUGUAAAGCUCCUUCGGCAGGGAAGAAACGCUCUGGCUUAAUACGCCGGGGUAAUGACGGUACCUGAAGAAGAAGCACCGGCUAACUACGUGCCAGCCGCCGCAGUAA
rnacentral:rRNA from 1 species